AGGACGAACGCUGGCGGCGUGCUUAACACAUGCAAGUCGAGCGGUAAGGCCCUUUCGGGGGUACACGAGCGGCGAACGGGUGAGUAACACGUGAGCAAUCUGCCCUUCACUUCGGGAUAAGCCUCGGAAACGGGGUCUAAUACCGGAUAUGACCGCGCUACGCAUGUGGUGUGGUGGAAAGUUCUGGCGGUGAGGGAUGAGCUCGCGGCCUAUCAGCUUGCUGGUGGGGUAAAGCCUACCAAGGCGACGAUCCUUAGCUGGUCUGAGAGGAUGAUCAGCCACACUGGGACUGAGACACGGCCCAGACUCCUACGGGAGGCAGCAGUAGGGAAUAUUGGACAAUGGGGGCAACCCGUGAUCCAGCAAUGCCGCGUGAGUGAUGAAGGCCUUAGGUUGUAAAGCUCUUUUACCCGAGAUGAUAAUGACAGUAUCGGAGAAUAAGCUCCGGACUAACUCCGU
rnacentral:rRNA from 1 species